GAUGCGACCUCAGCUCAGGCGGGGCUACCCGCUGAGUUUAAGCAUAUCAUUAAGCGGAGGAAAAGAACUAACAAGGGAUUCCCCU
rnacentral:rRNA from 1 species